rnacentral:rRNA from 1 species
UGGGGAAUUUUGCACAAUGGGGGAAACCCUGAUGCAGCGACGCCGCGUGAUUUAGAAGGCCUUCGGGUUGUAAAAAUCUUUUCUAUGGGAAGAAAAUGACAGUACCAUAGGAAUAAGGACCGGCUAAUUACGUGCCAGCAGCCGCGGUAAUACGUAAGGUCCGAGCGUUGUCCGGAGUCAUUGGGCGUAAAGGGUACGUAGGCGGGUAAGCAAGUUAGAAGUGAAAUCCUAUAGCUCAACUAUAGUAAGCUUUUAAAACUGCUCAUCUUGAGGUAUGGAAGGGAAAGUGGAAUUCCUAGUGUAGCGGUGAAAUGCGCAGAUAUUAGGAGGAAUACCGGUGGCGAAGGCGACUUUCUGGCCAUAACCUGACGCUGAGGUACGAAAGCGUGGGUAGCAAACAGG